rnacentral:rRNA from 1 species
CCUACGGGAGGCAGCAGUGAGGAAUAUUGGUCAAUGGGCGAGAGCCUGAACCAGCCAAGUCGCGUGAGGGAGUACUGCCCUAUGGGUUGUAAACCUCUUUUGUCGGGGAGCAAAAGCCGGACGUGUCCGGCUGUGAGAGUACCCGAAGAAAAAGCAUAGGCUAACUCCGUGCCAGCAGCCGCGGUAAUACGGGGGAUGCGAGCGUUAUCGGGAUUUAUGGGGUUAAAAGGGUGCGCAGGCGGAGUUUUAAGUCAGCGGUCAAAUCGUGGGGCUCAACCCCAUCCAGCCGUUGAAACUGGGGAUCUGGAGGGUGCGAGAGGUAUGUGGAAUGCGUGGUGUAGCGGUGAAAUGCAUAGAUAUCACGCAGAACCCCGAUUGCGAAGGCAGCAUACCGGUGCACAACUGACGUUCAGGCACGAAAGCGUGGGUAUCGAACAGGAUUAGAUACCCCAGUAGUC